rnacentral:ncRNA from 1 species
AACCCGAGACGGCUCGGGCCAAGCCCCAAAAACCCCGGCGGGACGGCCCGC